rnacentral:rRNA from 1 species
UGCGUAGGCGGUUAUAUUAGUCAGUCGUUAAAACUCUGGGCUCAACCUAGAGAUCGCGAUUGAAACGGUAUAACUUGAAGAAGUCAGAGGUAAACAGAACUCUCGGUGUAGGGGUGAAAUCCGUUGAUAUCGAGGGGAAUACCAAAUGCGAAGGCAGUUUACUGGGACUUUCUUGACGCUGAGGCACGAAAGCGUGGGUAGCGAACAGGAUUAGAUACCCUGGUAGUCC